GCCAGCAUAGUAUAACGGUUAGUACAUUCGACUCAUAUAGUCAAUCGAAAGAUCGUGGUUCGAUUCCGCGUGCCGGCA
rfam:Thecamonas trahens ATCC 50062 unplaced genomic scaffold supercont1.5, whole genome shotgun sequence.